rnacentral:rRNA from 1 species
ACGAACGCUGGCGGCAUGCCUAACACAUGCCAGUCGAACGAGACCUUCGGGUCUAGUGGCGCACGGGUGCGUCACGCGUGGGAACCUGCCCUUAGGUUCGGAAUAACUCCCCGAAAGGGGUGCUAAUACCGGAUAAUGUCUUCGGACCAAAGAUUUAUCGCCUUUGGAUGGGCCCGCGUUGGAUUAGCUAGUUGGUAGGGUAAAAGCCUACCAAGGCGACGAUCCAUAGCUGGUCUGAGAGGAUGAUCAGCCACACUGGGACUGAGACACGGCCCAGACUCCUACGGGAGGCAGCAGUGGGGAAUAUUGGACAAUGGGCGAAAGCCUGAUCCAGCAAUGCCGCGUGAGUGAUGAAGGCCUUAGGGUUGUAAAGCUCUUUUACCCGGGAUGAUAAUGACAGUACCGGGAGAAUAAGCGCCGGCUAACUCCGUG